rnacentral:lncRNA from 1 species
AUGAUUCGAUAUCCUAAUUAAACGACCUCCAUAAAAUAAAAUAAAAUAAAAUAAAAAUAGUACUUUGGAGGAACGAAGGUAUUCGGAUGAUCAAUCUGAAUGUUGAUCUUAAUCGUCGUACGUACGGCACUCAUCGGUCUCUGGGUUGUCCUUGCAGUAAGUCUCCAAGGGGUCGGCGUCUUUCGCCUUGUCUCUGGCAUGGCUAGAAGCGGCACUCAGCUCUUCCACUUCAUCCCACGCCGCCACACACUCACCGCUGACAGGGUCAUCUGCACAUGACUCCUUGGCGUUCUCGAUGCUGGAGGCUAUCUUUUCCGACAAACUUUCAGGUGCCGCCCUCACCGGCAUCAAAUACAUCCUUCCUGAG